rnacentral:lncRNA from 1 species
UAGGAGGAGGGAUGUUAGGAAGAUAGUCUGACUGUGAAAAGGGCAAAAAUAAAUGGCAUGUGGCGACAUAUUAAAGGAAUGCACAGAUCACGACAUGGUAUGAAGAGUGGAAAGGUGAAAAUGAAAACUUUUGUGAUGGAAAAUGUUCGAGCAAGAUUUGAUGUGGGCAAAGGAAAUAAAACAAGGCACGAGAUUCUUGGGGUAAGGGGGCAAGGACCAGGAGAGAAACAGAGAGACAAGCGUAAUGAUAUGAGGGAAUUUAUGGUAAAACAAAAAGAUGAUGGUUUGUCUCGCGCUUUUUGUCGAACAUUUUGCCUGCAAUCAUCUAAUUUACAUUGUCGAUUUACAUAUAAUUUGAUUAAAUUAGUGAUACCACAAUCUUCAAUCUUUUCACUUGAUCAUGAUGAUGAUUAAUUCUUGACUCUACACUUAGCUCUAUAAUUAAGGAUUUAAAACCCCGUAUAGCACUAUAAUCUACACACAAGGGAGUACUUAAACAUGAAUUGCCAUAUCACAUCCACGAGUGACACAACUGGAUCUCAAAUUCUCACCCUCGAGAGAAAGUACGUAGAUGGCUUCCUGUGCUUUGCGAGGUUUAAUGAAGGAAUAAGUGAGGUAAACAUGGAUCAUUCGUCGACCAAUGUAGUGGUUAGGCUAUUAUUGCUAGCCAGGUUGUCCGAGACCAAACAUGCACUACAGGAUAAGGAAGCUUUUUGCUGUGAACAUAAUCAUAAUCUCAUGGAGGUGCGCACAGGCAAGGCACCUAAUUCUCCCAGUCAUGCCUUCCUCCCCUAUCGACUGCUGAGCCCCGAGCAUUAUAAUUAACUCCAUGUGGAGACUAAUUGGUUCUUAUUUUCGUUUUUAUUUUCUUUUUCUCUCGGAGAAAGAAAAAAGUGAGAAUUUCACACGCUGUGUGCUGUUCA